rnacentral:rRNA from 1 species
AUGGAAGCAGCGAUAGAUGUUGAUGAUGACGGGGACACAGACGCGGAUGAAUCAGAGGAGGAGGACAAGGAUGAGGAUGACAAUGAAGAAGAUGCAGAGGAGGAGGAGGAGGAGGAGGACAAGCAAGAAGAGGACAAAGGAGAGGAGGAGGAGGAGGAAGAAGAUAGUGAGGCAGGGGAGGAGGAAGAAGAAGGUGAGGCCGAAGAGGGGGGCGGGGACAAAGGCGCAACAGUUGAUGGCAAUGAGAGGGGAGAAGACAAAGGCGCAACAGUUGAUGGCAGUGAGAGGGAAGAAGACCACGAUGAAGAAGACGAGGACGGUUAUGGUGAUGAUGUUGGGGGAUCCAAUGGAGGUAGCGACAGAUGCGAUGAUGACGAUGAUGACAACGCCCCUGGUUCUGGUGGUACAUGUGGCAACACAUCCAGGAGGACUAGCACUUCUGCCACCCCUGCCAGCAGUAGCAAUUCAUUGAGUAGCAGGAGCACACUACAGAUGUUAAUCGACAAAACUUGCUGGAAAGACAAGGAUUUGCCGAAGUCAAAGAAAAAUGACGAAGCAGAGUCUCAAGGCAGCAUUGAUAUGUUCAAACUCUGUAACUUGAAGCCAGCUUUGGCAACCACCUUUCCUAUUCCAGAUUUUAGCAACCAAGAUAUGUGUGAGAAGAUCAACUUUGCCAUUGACAAGAGCCUGUUCUUAUCAAGUGUUGCUGUAAAGAAUCAAGUUGACAUGGAGGAAGCAGGAAAAGGUCUUGAUUGGGUUCAUUCAAAGGAAAAAUAUAAGGAAUAUUUGAAGCAGCUUCCAGACCUAAGCUCUGGCAAGAGUAAGGCAGAAUCCAUGGCAAACCCUCACGUGGUCCAGAAGCAUAAAGCAGUUUCAAUGAAGAAGAAUCUGCAGUUGCCUCAAACCAAGGAGAAGAUGGUGAGUGCAGAUGCUGAAGUAAAUAUGGUCAAGGAAGUUGUGCUUCAAACUGAUACACCAACUGUAGUGAGCAGAGAGCCAACCACCAUCACAGGAGUUCAACAGAUCAAGGGGAAGACUCCCCUUUCAACAGUCCCACCAAAACCACCUAAGCAGCAAAAGAUUGUCAAGUUUGCUAGGGGCACAAAGGGGGAACAGGCCAAGGUUUGGGGUUUAGAGACGAGAGAGAACUGCGAGCCGAAGCCAUUGAUGUAG